AUUGAACGCUGGCGGCAGGCCUAACACAUGCAAGUCGAGCGGAUGAAGGGAGCUUGCUCCUGGAUUCAGCGGCGGACGGGUGAGUAAUGCCUAGGAAUCUGCCUGGUAGUGGGGGAUAACGUCCGGAAACGGGCGCUAAUACCGCAUACGUUCUGAGGGAGAAAGUGGGGGAUCUUCGGACCUCACGCUAUCAGAUGAUCCUAGGUCGGAUUAGCUAGUUGGUGGGGUAAAGGCCUACCAAGGCGACGAUCCGUAACUGGUCUGAGAGGAUGAUCAGUCACACUGGAACUGAGACACGGUCCAGACUCCUACGGGAGGCAGCAGUGGGGAAUAUUGGACAAUGGGCGAAAGCCUGAUCCAGCCAUGCCGCGUGUGUGAAGAAGGUCUUCGGAUUGUAAAGCACUUUAAGUUGGGAGGAAGGGCAGUAAGUUAAUACCUUGCUGUUUUGACGUUACCAACAGAAUAAGCACCGGCUAACUUCGUG
rnacentral:rRNA from 1 species